UUGGCCCUGGAGGGGUGCGGGCUCCGGGACGGGCGGGAGGGCAGCAGCCUGGGCCUCGCCCCGAACCCGCCUCUGGUGGUCGCGGUCGCUGUCCGCGCCGCCCGGGCCAGUUAUCCUCCCUCCCCACCCACAGCGGCGCGGUGAGGCCCGCGCAUCUCUUCUCGCCCUCGGAGGCUGUGUUCAGCCCUCGGACGAGCGGCGUGGCGAGCGCGGCCCGCGUUCCGGGCUGGCUCUCAGGGAAAGGCCACAGCGCUGCCUCCCCGCCCCGGGCGCAGCGGCGGGAAGGGAGGUGAGCCCGCGGCCGGCCAGCCGCGCUGAGGAGUCGAGCACCACGGGCCAGCCAAUCGCGAGGCGCCCCGGCGUCCGCGCCCUGCCUCCCGACGACGGGCCCGCGCCGCGGAAUUCCUCGGGAGGUGGGAGGUGGCUGGCCGCGAUGGAGCUUUCUCAGGAUGUGUGAGGCAGCAUUCACAGGGCGGCAGUGGGAGGACAGGCUGGGGGAAUUCUCCUUGAGUGAGCAAGGGCGAGCCGAGGUCUGGCAGCCAGCGAUGAAAGCCUGCGACACUCCCUCUGCUCACUGGCGCCUGGAAAUGGUUGUGCAGACGCCCCUGCCCCACCCCCCCACCAGCUGCCCACGCUGGCACUGCUGGCCUUUCCCCUGGAGGACCCUCAGAGGCACAUCCCGGUCUGAAACAUGCGGCUAGAGUUACCCCGCCCUGGCGAGGUGGGGCUUUACACAGUCACCCGGAGUGGCCGGCUCUAACCGCUGGGAUGAUCUGGCUGCUCACCUGCCCCACUUGGAGGGGAUUGCGUGCACUCUGUAGAUGGCCACACACACCGCGCCCCACCCCCAGGUACUUGGAAUAGUCCGGCAGGAACUUUGGAGGAAGUGAGGCCUGGAGAGACCUUGUGUCACCUCCUUCCUUAGAGAGAGAGACCCAGUGUCUCCCAAGAUGGCUGACUCCAGACAGCCUUGCAGGAGGCCCGUGCUGGAGGUCACCAGAGCACACAGUUGGUGCUCAGUCAUUGCUCAACAGGCUACCUGUGAGCAUAAGGCCCACCGUGCUGACAAGCUAGGGCUGCCCAUCUUAGCGGAGGCUCUGGCUGAGUUCUAGAAUGAUCAAGGGCAGAGAGGGAUCCCUACUCCUCCACCACCCAGCAGCAUUGCUACCAACGAGGGACCAAGACUCGCAUCUUUUCUGCUCUGAGAACCAAGCGCGGAUCAAGCAGCCAACACGUUGAAAAGAUAGAAUGGAGAACAAUCCCCAGAGAACCUUGAUUAAGCUAUGUCUAAAACCACCCUACCUCCACACCAUCACUGCUCUGUAGACCUCUGUAUCAUAACAACAACAAAGAGAACAUAGCUGCCACCUCUCAGCAGAACAUAGAGGUGGGGAAGCCGUGGCCAUAUGGACCCCGGGUCUCUAUGUCUGCUGGGAUGGGUCAUGCUCACUCAGGACCCAACAUCCAUGAAGCUGUUCUGGGGUCAGACCUGAGGCAGGCAGGUACCAACGAGGCAGUGAUGCUCCUGUCUUUCUGAUCCCCACUUGCUAGUCCAGCUGUCAGAGCCUGCACCUCACCCUGAGACUGCCUGAAAACCUGCCAGCGCCUCACAAACAGGCACGAAUGAGAGCGCUGGGAGGAACGUGAGAGCCACCAAGAGAGCCCCGCAUCGCUGGCAGAUCCUGCAUAUACAGCUUCUGCAAACCCGCGCUCACUGACACCAUUCCUACUUGCUCUGGCAGCUGGCCACCUGCCUUCAGCCCCCACCGUGUGGCUUCAAGACAGCAGAGGAGCAGCGAGAGGCCCAGCCCCACACCAUGCUCUCCGAGGACACUGAGAGCAGGGACCACCUUUCAUCCUCAGAGUCUGCCUUUGUGAGGAACAGUCUGGGAGGAGCUUUGGGAAAUAAAAUUGGAGAGAAACAGCAAA